rnacentral:tRNA from 1 species
AAGAGGUGUAUGAACAGUCAAAACUGCUAAUUUAG